CUUUAAAAAGUGGGAGUAAAAUCACUGUAGCUUAUCUAUAGUAAACAUAAAAACGCUUCGUUUCCUUUUUCCCUAUCAUUCGCACUUCUCUGGUCUCUCCCCUCAAAUAUCCCUUUUUCCGCCAUGGAUGGAGAGUGGAGACACCCAGCAAGCAACCUCACAUCGUCGCCAACUCAUCCUGAAUUUUCUUCUGGGGUGAUGAACUUUGUUGGAGACAAUUACACUCAGCUCAUAAGCUGCUAAUUGAUUCUUCCUUCUUGGUAAUUUCAAUUCCAGUAGAUCCAACAAGAAACCUUUGUCUUAAAAUCUGCAAAUUGAAUUUAACAUGGGUCAGAUUCAUGAUAAGUUCAUGUAAAUGUACUAUAAAUUUUAGAGCUUUACACUCAUAAAAGAGCUUGUACAAAAAUUCUUGAUGGCCAAGUUCAAGGCCAUGUCAGGCCAAGGAGGGGGUUUGGUAAUAGUUUUUAACCAGAAAUUGACGCACCUCGGUUAUUACUCACUAGCUUGAUUUUCCUUUUUAUCUCUAUCGCUCUAUAAUAUAUGCUUUUAUAAGUUUUAUGGCCUUUUUUGUGCAUUAUUUUGACAUCUUGUAUAUCUGCUCCUCACAUGCUUCUUGUGUACUUAUGAAUUUGUGCAUUUCUGUAAAAGCAUUCAAGAAUUGCUAAAGUUGCUGCUAUAAAACUUCAAAGCCUUGACCAUAUAUAAUGUUGUUUGGUUUUAUUGUUGUGAUGAUCUUGCUGCAAAGUCCUUGUGAAUGUUAAAUUUGUAAAUUCAAAUUUAUAUAUUUGCUUUUUGGUUGUUUUGUUAACUUAGUUGGUUUGCUAAUUAAUUUGUUAUUUGAGCUCGGCGGGAGUGUGAAGUCUCUGUCAGGGUUCUCCAAUAAAAUUCAUAUUUCAUUUUGGGUUGGAUCGAUAAAAUAAACUUUGUUUUCAGUACUAAUUCGUACAACUCUUCUCCUAAAUACUUGUGUUAAACCCAAAUGGGAAUUUAGAAGGGACCUAGGAAGUAGUAAGUAGGAUCACAGCCCCUAUAAUCUUGCCACCAUAUUACCAUGGUUACAGUAUCAGGUAGUUAAUGCAAGUGGGUUUAGAACCUAUGAAACGCAUUGCAAUUGUAAGUUUGUAACAUCAAGUUAAUAUGUAGUGUCAGAGUUUUGAUUGUUGUUAAAUGGUGGUUAAUGAGUUAUAGAAAUGAGAGGAAACAUGAAGUAAUUACUUUAAAUAACUAAUUGGUCAGGAUCCUAGCUAGAUAUUUUUCAAAUAAGAAUAAUACUAUUUCAUGAACUGGUCAUUACUUUUAAUUUGUCUUGUUAUUUUUUUUUUGUUAUUUUUAAUCUGUCUUGUUCUUAAUUUUGCAGAUUUUGUGAUUAUUUGAUAGAUUUUAAUAAGAGAACUAGAUUAUGGCAGUAACUAUCUCAACCUUCUUUUUGUUUUGGAGAUUUUAUGAUUGUAUAAUUUGGUGCUUAAUUAGAACUAUGCUAUUUCUUUCAGAAUUCCAACCACUGAGCUUCCAAGUGUAUGUAUGAUUUAGAAUUUUUAGAUUCUUAUGGUGCUCUUAAAGUUUGCUCUACAUUCUACAAUUCCCGUCAGAGUAGAUAAGAGAAAUAAGUACGGAAUUCAUAAACUACGUAUAAUUUAUUUGAAUUUCUCAAAGUUAAUCGUUUUGGGGGACUUUCUCUUAUGUUGAUAUGCAAUCAGUACGUGUAUAGAACAAUCUAUCAGGAAGAUUUCUUAAUUAGUAAAAAUCAAGAAGGAAGUCAAGCUUGUGUCAGUUUAUAUAUGUUCUUAUUGUAUCUAAUUUUAUAAAGAGAUGAUGGAGUAUUAAAUGAUGAGGUUAUGGGAUUCUUUGCUUAAAUUAUUCCUAAUAAAAAGAAAUCAUGUAAGACAUGUCUAUCAUACUAGAUUUAUAUAUCACUUUUGUCAAGGGACAAAUAUAGAAUAAAAACAAUUGUGUUCUUUUUGUUGAUAAAAAAAAGGAAAAACAAAAUUGAAUGUGUGUUUUUGAACUUCAUAUCUUAUCAUUUAUGGAGUGGCUUACAGACUUACAGUGCUUUAAGACCAAGUUCUCUUCUUAGAACUUCUAGGUUGGCUAGAAAGUUUAUGAAGAACAGGUCCUAGAAGAAAUUACAUGAAUCUAUUGUUUGUUGCCAACUUUCACAUUUUACCUCUAAAUUUUGCUAAAAAUAUUAUGUAUCACAUAUUGUUAUCAGGACUUGUAUGAUCCAUCACAUAAACUAAGAUAGAUGUCAAGUAUAUUUUACUUGUAUAUUGCAUUUCCUACUAUUAAGGAGCUAUAUUUAGUUACGUUGAUUAGAGUUAAUGUAUGGUUUACUAAUUCGGAUCUUGUAAUUAGUUCCUUGAGA